rnacentral:tRNA from 1 species
GCCGGGCUAGCUUAAUCAGUAGAGCAUGAGACUCCUAAUCUCAGGGUCGUGGGUUUGUGCCCCACUCAGCU